GAGAUGAGGCACACAUCUGGACAAAAAGUCAACAGCUUCCAGACGAGUGGGGAGGAGGCUUCGGAAAAAGAUGAACACCACAGCCUAGCAUACUGCAUAACUGUGGCUUUUUUUUUUCUUUUUUGGACAGCUUCACUCUACUUCCUGCAGAGAAGAAGACAUUCACAAUGCUGUCGCGCCAUCCUGCUUCAUCCUGCAGACGGAUUUGCAGCUCAGUAGAGAAAUACGUCACUCUGGAUAUGCUAAAUCCGUCAUUGAUCCGCGUUAGAGGCGUGCAGUCCCCACGGUGGUCGGAUGAGGAUGCAGCUUUUCCAG